GAUGAACGCUGGCGGCGUGCCUAACACAUGCAAGUCGAACGGAGUUCUUAAGGAAUGCGACUUCGGUCAAAUGACUUUUGAACUUAGUGGCGGACGGGUGAGUAACGCGUGAGCAACCUGCCUUUCAGAGGGGGAUAACAUUUGGAAACAGAUGCUAAUACCGCAUAAGAUUACAGUACCGCAUGAUACAGUGAUCAAAGGAGCAAUCCGCUGAAAGAUGGGCUCGCGUCCGAUUAGAUAGUUGGUGAGGUAACGGCUCACCAAGUCGACGAUCGGUAGCCGGACUGAGAGGUUGAACGGCCACAUUGGGACUGAGACACGGCCCAGACUCCUACGGGAGGCAGCAGUGGGGAAUAUUGCACAAUGGGCGAAAGCCUGAUGCAGCAACGCCGCGUGAGGGAAGACGGUUUUCGGAUUGUAAACCUCUGUUUUCGGUGACGAACAAAUGACGGUAACCGAGUAGGAAGCCACGGCUAACUACGUGCCAGCAGCCGACGG
rnacentral:rRNA from 1 species